AACGAAGCAAAGCAGAGUUCAAAAUGGCUAUUUGAUUGCUAAACCUGAUAUGAAUUGUCUCACACGACUCUUUAAGAGAAUGACUUUGACACAAGAGAUUGGACUGAGAGAUGUUUUGAUACCAUUGGAAUGCGUAAUCCAUUUGAACUCAGAGCUGAAGAUCUCCCAGAGCAGCCAAACUACUUCACUUGUGCCUUCAGAAAAGACAAACUUGACAAGUACGUUUUCUUUGUUAACCAUCAGGAUUAUGGUUAACAAAUGGUUAUGGUUAGCCGUGAUGAUUUCUUCAAAAGUGCUCAGCGAAGCAGAAUUGUAACACAUCGAUAUAUAUCUCAGACAGAGAUGGCAAAACAAAUAGAAGUACAGUAAAUAUUGAUGUUCAAUUGCAAGCACGUUCACAGAAUUUUGACAAGAACACAGUAUGGUGAGAAGAGGAAUCAGAUUGGUAAAAAUGAAGCAAUCUUAAUCAAAACUAUACUUUAUGUUAAUGACUAGCAUUAAAAAUUUGGGGCCCUUUACAUUAGGAAGAGAAAUAUAUUUUUGUCAGUCAUUGAACAAUAAGAAUAUUGCCACCUACAGGGAAUUUAAAGGUACAUGUCAGUUUUCUCUGAUAACAGCAAGACUCUUUGAAGUAUUCUCUUUUGUAUUACUUUUAAUUAUUGAUGUCAGCUUAUUAAACUGAUUUUGCAGUAUAUCAUGUAUCACAUUGUGUAUGGUGUGAUCAGAAACUUAUACCUAACAUAAUGUAGGUGCAUAUCCUUGUCAUUUA